rnacentral:rRNA from 1 species
GACGAACGCUGGCGGCGUGCCUAAUACAUGCAAGUUGAGCGAUGAAGAUUGGUGCUUGCACCAAUUUGAAGAGCAGCGAACGGGUGAGUAACGCGUGGGGAAUCUGCCUUUGAGCGGGGGACAACAUUUGGAAACGAAUGCUAAUACCGCAUAACAACUUUCAACAUAAGUUUUAAGUUUGAAAGAUGCAAUUGCAUCACUCAAAGAUGAUCCCGCGUUGUAUUAGCUAGUUGGUGAGGUAAAGGCUCACCAAGGCGAUGAUACAUAGCCGACCUGAGAGGGUGAUCGGCCACAUUGGGACUGAGACACGGCCCAAACUCCUACGGGAGGCAGCAGUAGGGAAUCUUCGGCAAUGGACGAAAGUCUGGCCGAGCAACGCCGCGUGAGUGAAGAAGGUUUUCGGAUCGUAAAACUCUGUUGGUAGAGAAGAACGUUGGUGAGAGUGGAAAGCUCAUCAAGUGACGGUAACUACCCAGAAAGGGACGGCUAACUACGUG